GGAGACCUCAAGCCACGUUGGUAUGACUGCAGUUUGUGUGGGAGAAGGCUUCUGUCAUGCAGUGAAGAUGAAAGUCAAGUGGUAUCUACUAAAUGGACAGUUAGACCCUGUGCUGGAUCCACAUUGACAGAUACUGGAAAAGACAGCAUCUGUUCCCUCUAUCAGGUUAUGCUUUGGCAUUCCUUCCACCCAGGUGAUUCUGGUGACCAGAGCAUAGAGCCAUGGAAGUUGACCAUCCCAUGAUGAAGAAGCUCUGGAAGAGUCCCUGAGCUCUACUGCCUAAUCAGACCACUGCCUAAUCAGAGAAGAAAGAAGGCUGAAUCUUGUACAAAUGGCUGGAAGAAUCCAGGAUGAGAGGCAUAAAUAGUGCCAGCUUGGGAGAAAAGCCUUAUACUUGCAGUUAGUUUUUCAGUGUAGAUGACAGCCUGCUUGCUUUCAGUUCUUAUCAUCAUGCCAAAAGCUGUCUUGAAUUAUGCAGCUUUUGUAGAACUCCUUGAAAUGUGUUUAUAUAAGAAGAAACCGUAAAAAUUGAAGUGAAAGGACCGAAUCCUGCACUGCACUUGCCCUCCAUUGACAAGACCCGCAGGACCACACCAGUGCAGAACUCACACCCUGCAGUGCCUUCCUCUGUGCAGCAACAAGAAGCUUCACCACUUCUUGCUGCUUCAGAAACAGAGGAGAAAACUUGGCCUCAUGAACGUGGCUGUCCCUGAUUUCUCAGACAGACGCAAUGUAUAUUUGCAAAGAGUGUUCCCUCCUCUGGCCAUCCAAGCACGGUGUCUGAGGGAGUGUUUAUAUCCGGAUGCAUGAGAUCAAAGAAUCGGGCAAACAAAG
rnacentral:lncRNA from 1 species